rnacentral:rRNA from 1 species
UACGGAUGGGAGCUAGCGUUGUUCGGAAUUACUGGGCGUAAAGCGUACGUAGGCGGUUAUUCAAGUCAGAGGUGAAAGCCCGGGCUCAACCCCGGAACUGCCUUUGAAACUAGAUAGCUAGAAUCUUGGAGAGGUCAGUGGAAUUCCGAGUGUAGAGGUGAAAUUCGUAGAUAUUCGGAAGAACACCAGUGGCGAAGGCGACUGACUGGACAAGUAUUGACGCUGAGGUACGAAAAGCGUGGGGAGCAAACAGG